rnacentral:lncRNA from 1 species
AAGAUAGAAAAAGGCUGAAAACACAAUAAGAACAGAAAAUAGAUUAGAUAAUGAUUCAGCACAAGUAGAAAUAAAGAAAGAAUUGACAGUAAGAAAUUAAAAGAUAAGUCCUAAGAAGCCUUGAAAUCUCGAAAGAUUUCACAACUCCCUUCAAACGGCUCUAAUCUCCCCUCCAAAGAAUAUCAAUGGCAAGAAGAAGGUUGAAGAUGGCUCCCACAAUCACAAGAUUGUUAAAACAACUUCUAAAGAAAACUCAAGAGAAAAAUCUUGGAGAAAACUCAAAGAAAAUUCUGCUCUCAACAAAUCUGAAAUUUUAAUAAUAAUGAUAAGUGUUUAACAAGGUGGACAGCCAUGUCUUUAAAUAGGCCUUAUAACUAGUCCUAAUCUAAUUAGAAAACUAAAAUAAAAAAAAUUUCUAAUUAUUUUAAUAUGAAAAUUCGGUCAAAGGUCAUUUUAUCUAGGACUCUUGGACUGAAUAUUGAUAUAAAAAUUUAAACUAAGUAAAUAAAUAAAUAAAUAAAUAAAAAUAAAAAUAAAACUUUACAACUUGGGCCACUUUGACAAUUUGGCCUGAUUUUCAACUAAGUAUGGAUGGAUUUCUUGAUUAGGCUGGGAAUUUACUUAUUGGGCCUCGCCUUCAAGAAUUUGGGCUUUUGUGACUCGUAUCAUUCCCCCCUUCCUCAAAAAGAUUCGUCCUCGAAUCUGAAAAAUCAAAUGAACUCGACUUUCCUCUAUCGAACGAGACUAAUGGCAAUUGAGUCCACUGAAAAGAAUAGCCAUGAGAUAGUAAAUAGCAACGAAAACAAGCUUGUAAUCCAAUCAUAAGCAUAACAGACAGGUAUAACGCAUGUGAAUGGACAGAUUCAGAUUACCAUGCAAACAAUCUAAUUUACUCACCACUGCCUCGUCAAAUAUUUGAAACAAAGAUGGACAUGUUUUAAGGCAUUCAGUCGUCUCACAUUGUUCCCACAAACCAUAAAUAAAUUGCGAGUAAUAAAUCAAAUGGUAAACAUAAUCGUCACAAGUAGGUAUUUGAAAAGAUUCACAUGGUUCACAGAGUUGCAUAAUCAUACCAUGCAUUAAUCGACGGUCUAUAGAUUCACUCACAUGAUUAUCAAAAACAAGAAUUUUUUUAUCAACCAUCAAAACAGAUAGAUCAUCAAUAAAUAAAAUAGGACAGUCAAGCACGUUUUGAUCUAAGUGUUCAUCAACACGAUCUUUAUCACUAUCCGAGGAGUACAAAAGUGUUUCAAAGGUUUCAAGCAUCUUACCUCGAUAAGCAGAAGAAUAAUGGUCGAUUUUACCUUUUUCAUUUAAAACAAACCUUCGCUCAUUGGGGGCAUAGUGUAGUCGAAUCUUCGUUGUUGAGUUAACGUUUGUCAAAUGGAACUCAAACUUCAUGUACAACCACAUAAAUUAUUUAAGGCACGAAUAUAAAUUGAAAACAAAUUUGGAAAAUUUCGUUACCUUAUUCUCCAAAACAGAUUUGGACAAAUUCAAGGAUUUUACACAAGGUAAAUCAAGAGAAUAACAAAUCACGCUUCUUUUCGUAAUGACUUUAUCAACCACAAUCGAAGAGUAACAAUUAAUCGGAUCAAAAUGAGGGGAUCUUUUAAGAACUAAGUCACCAAAAGUUAUAUCAAUAAUUUUUAAAUCUGCACUGGACUCGGUUUCUAAAAUUUCCUUACCUCGCUUACUUUCGGGAUCAUGUAGUGUGAUUUCAUCUUUGCCUAAGUUGAUCGUAUGAAAGCGUCUUUCAUUUGAGAGGUAUUGAAGUUGAAAGUUAUCUUUCGAUCUUUCAGGAACCUGAAAAGUAGCAACACAAGAAAAAUUCAUAUCUUGGUUAGUGGAAACAUUCCUCACUAGCCUUUCCUCGUCUUUUUCUUUUGUUUCUUUUUCUAACUCAUUUUCUCUUCUUUCUUCAACUUCUUUUUCAAAUUUCUUUUCUGUUUCACAUUCCUUUUCACUCUCAAUCUCUUUUUGCUCUUUUUCAUUCUUUUUUUCUUUUUCCUUAUUUGUUUUAACAGAAUUUCUCAGUUUGAUUUGGUCCUCAUGGACUUGUUCCGGAGUGAGCGGCACUAAGGUAAGUUUCUUUCCUUGAUGCUUGAAAGAAUACCUAUUGGUACGACCAUUGUGAGUGACUUUUCGAUCCAGUUGCCAUGGUUCUCCUAGCAAUAAAUGGCAGGCUUGAAUAGGUACUACGUCGCACACGACUUCGUCUUGAUAUUUACCGAUAGAAAAGGCGAUGCGCACUUGUUGAGUGACCUUAAAUUGGCUUUCGUUGCUAAGCCCUUGUAGUUGAUAAGGUCGUGGAUGCUUGGUAGUGGUUAAGCAAAGCUUUUCCACCAUCGUCGUGCUGGCUACGUUCGAGCAACUUUCACCAUCAAUAAUAACUCUACAAAGCUUAUCUUGUACAUGGCAGCGAGUAUGAAAGAGAUGUUCUCGUUGCUGCUCGCUCUUUGGUUUUGCCAAAGAGGGUUGUCCACGAUCAUGAAAAUUAUCAUCCAUUCUAGUGACACGUCGAGGGUCGCGCCUCUGGGGUUGGUUAUCCCUAUCUUCUUUGAUUGGAUUUCGAUAUUGAGGUUCUUGAUUCAAUUGCACCUCAUUGAUGGUAGCAGUCAAAGCUCGAAGAGCAGCAGCCUGUUCAUCCAACUGUUGUUGGAAUUUUUAAAAUAUGUCACUAUUAUUAUCACCUGUAGACUUUUUUUAAAACCUGCAAAACACUUAACACUCAAAAAUAAAAGUUAUCAAACCUCACCGUUAAUCACUCAAAAAGAAAAAAUUAAAUUCUCAAUGAGGUCGAAUUCAAUCUUGUGAGUUCUUUAUCAGAGUUUAUAUCAACCAAUUAGAGAGUGUGAACCAAACUACCAAAGAAUCCUAAUUUGCACUAGGAUGCCAAAAACUGACGAGACACCAAUUGAUUCGUGUUGCACCGAGGAAGUUGUGCACACGCUUAAAUCCUACUAACACAAGAACCAAGAAGGUGUUAGAUAACAUAAAGGAAGAAUAAAUGUAAACAAAUGAAAACCUACAGCUAAGAAUAAAUAAAAAUUGCUGAAAACAGAAAACCCGAAAAAUUGCGGAGUAACUUGACAACUUCGUUCGAGGUGUUCCCGAUCUCCAAAAAUCACGAAAUUAAAUCUGGAGUGUCCUUAUAUAUUGAAUUUUUGAUCUGGAAAUUUUGGGCACCAAAUUCAACCCGCUGAAUCUUUUUUUUAAAAUUUUUAUUGAAUUUCGUCUUUUUUGAUUUGUUUGACUUUUUGACUGAUUUUUUUGCGGGAAUAAUUUUUUUAUAUUCAAUCAAAGUGCCAAAAACAUGUAUGUAAAAUUUCAGAUCAAUCGGACAACGUUUACCCACUCAAAUGAAUUUUUUUGAACAAUUUUUCUGGGUAAAACUGCUGUUUAUGCUUUAAAAAAUAGAGAUCAGUUUAGAAAUCAACCAAGAACACCCAAAACGCCCAAAAUCUGAUACCAAAUGAUACGGGGUUGCGCGCGGACCAAGAUCGAGUUGCCAAGUCACGAGAAACUCCUACGAAAACCCUAAACAAUUAGAUCUGAAACGAAACAGAAAAUUAAAAGAUUAGAUUUUUAAAUUUUCAGAUCUAAAAUAAAAUCCCCAAAUCAGCAAAGAAUCAAAUUGAGAAUAGAAAUAAGUGUUAGGGUUCUUAAAACCCUCAAGGAGAUUGUGAUUCUGCCCAAUUGAACACCAAGAUAGUUUUCUCCAAAUUUCGACAAUCUAAUUUCACCCAAAAAGAGUAUGGAAAAACCCUAGAAAUUGGGGAUUUUUGAGCUGAUUCUUUAAGAUAGAAAAAGGCUGAAAACACAAUAAGAACAGAAAAUAGAUUAGAUAAUGAUUCAGCACAAGUAGAAAUAAAGAAAGAAUUGACAGUAAGAAAUUAAAAGAUAAGUCCUAAGAAGCCUUGAAAUUCCGAAAGAUCUCACAACUCCUUUCAAACGGUUCUAAUCUCCCCUCCAAAGAAUAUCAAUGGCAAGAAGAAGGUUGAAGAUGGCUCCCACAAUCACAAGAUUGUUAAAACAACUUCUAAAGAAAACUCAAGAGAAAAAACUUGGAGAAAACUCAAAGAAAAUUCUGCUCUCAACAAAUCUGAAAUUUUAAUAAUAAUGAUAAGUGUUUAACAAGGUGGACAGCCAUGCCUUUAAAUAGGCUUUAUAACUAGUCCUAAUCUAAUUAGAAAACUAAAAUAAAAAAA